UCCUGCUGUUUCCUCCUAUAUAAAGGUGACUUCCGACACUCCGGCAAUUCUGGCCUCUCCAGCCUCUUGCCUUUCUUCUGAGGGGAGCCUUUUAUCCUGCUGAUAUUAUGGAAUAUGAAAACACACAAAAUGUCUAUACAGUCAAGAUAACCUGUGGAAAAAUAAUGAAGACAGUGGAGGAAAGGCAAAAUGGUAAAGAAGAGAAGAGAGAGAAACAAAAUAAUCAUUUUCCAGCCUACCUAAAAUAAUAACCUGGACUUUCAUAAAACUGGCAUAUCUUCUGUUUUACAUGGAAAAUUAUUUUAUCUUAAGUUUCCAUUUAGUUGAUUAAAAAUAGGGUUAUGAAUGUUAAAUAAGUGAUGAUUUAUUGCAAAGGAAAUAUGUUUCGAAAGGUCGAAUAAUGUCUGUAACAAUAAAAGGCAAACUAAAUGAU
rnacentral:lncRNA from 1 species